CCUACGGGAGGCAGCAGUGGGGGAAUAUUGCACAAUGGGCGAAAGCCUGAUGCAGCGACGCCGCGUGAGGGAUGACGGCCUUCGGGUUGUAAACCUCUUUCAGUAGGGAAGAAGCGUAAGUGACGGUACCUGCAGAAGAAGCGCCGGCUAACUACGUGCCAGCAGCCGCGGUAAUACGUAGGGCGCAAGCGUUAUCCGGAAUUAUUGGGCGUAAAGAGCUCGUAGGCGGUUUGUCGCGUCUGCCGUGAAAGUCCGGGGCUCAACUCCGGAUCUGCGGUGGGUACGGGCAGACUAGAGUGAUGUAGGGGAGACUGGAAUUCCUGGUGUAGCGGUGAAAUGCGCAGAUAUCAGGAGGAACACCGAUGGCGAAGGCAGGUCUCUGGGCAUUAACUGACGCUGAGGAGCGAAAGCAUGGGGAGCGAACAGGAUUAGAUACCCUGGUAGUCCAUGCCGUAAACGUUGGGACACUAGGUGUGGGGGACAUUCCACGUUUUCCGCGCCGUAGCUAACGCAUUAAGUGCCCCGCCGUGGGGAGUACGGCCGCGAAGGCGUAAAACGUCGAAAUUGAAUUGACGG
rnacentral:rRNA from 1 species